AGAGUGACAGAGGCACCUUAGAUACGUUACCAGAGGGAAAACUCGCCAACAACACGGCCAAUUCACAAUACAAACGUGUCUAUUCCGAUUGGAGGCCUUCCAUUGAUAAAAAUGUGGAUGUAGUUGGUGUGAUGGAAGCCAUUGCAGGCACACAAUCCCAACCUCAGACUAAUGUGAAGGAUAAGACGCCGUGGCGGAAGUCAAAUCUGAAUUCAUCAAAUCUUGUUGAGGAAAGUGAUAAUCGGCGGUUGCGACGAUCAAAUUCUCGUGGUAGCAGCUUCGAAAGUCCUUCUCUCCAGGCCAUCAAAGAGGAGGAGAAACGCAAAGGUCUCAUUGGUAACCUGGGUCAAGACACCUCAGACAGCUUGACCGUUUACCUGCGUCGCCCGAGCGACCCACCUGACACACCCAGCACGUCCGCACGUCUCCGGGCCGGGAAGGUGAGCCCCCUCUUGGCGCGCCGCGUCCUCCCCUCGCUGGACACCCCACCCCGCUCUCCCGAGGAUCAGCACCACCUACCCCCAUUCUCCUCCCCCUCACGACUUAGGUCGGACUCCCUGGUCCAGGACAAGGUGGAGAUCGACUCCGACAACAUCGAGACCCCUCCGGCCACGAGGAAGCUCAUACGGGUAGGCCGGGAGCCAGAACGAGCAUCGACCAGGUCUUCGUCGCCCAGGAAGAAAGACGACGAAGAAGUUCUGGGCGAUGGUCAAUUCGACCGGUUCUCCUCGGCGCGGCGAACCAGGAGGUACCGGAAGUCCCUGGAAGAGGAGCGGCCCGAGGGUGGCGCCUGGGAGAACCUGGGAGACAAACUAGUCAAAAGCACCGACGCCCCGCCCGUCGGGGUGGACACCGAGUCCCGACUGCGCCAGUGGCAAGACCGGCUCAAGUACAAAGGCAACGAGGAGCAGGCCAUGGAGAUCAUCACGCGCUCUGGUGAGGAACUUAAGAAUAUCGGGCAGCAACGCGUGUCCCUGGACGAGAUGCGCGACUCCUCCAAGCCCGGGAAACAUCGUACCGUCAUCAGCAUCAAUGGGGAGGAUAAGGACAAACCCUACCUGGGCCGGGACUACAAGACGGACCGGGAGAUGAGGCAGUCGCACCGGGCGAGCCACGGCCACGGCUCUUUCCUCGAUCAGGAAGCCAAGUUCGCGCCCACCUCCAUCAAGAUCCAAAACCGGGAUAGUGCUGCGCGCCACCGAAACGAAUUUAUCCCUGAAAUCAAGGUGCAGGCGCUGACUCCAUCAAAACAAAAGGAGAACGACCUCAACGACGAGGGCUUCGAGGAGACACAGAGCCUUAACAGCCAGAGCACAAACAACGAAACCGACGGCGUGGAUUCUGCUCAUAAAACGUUUAACCGGACCGACAGCUCCGACAGCGCCCCCUCGCGGCCGGUCAGCCGAAGUUUGUCGCUCCGCAACCGGAUAUCCAGCGACAGCAGCGCCCCCAAACGGACCCCCAGCCUCCGGCGCACCGACUCAUUAUCGAAACCAAGAACGCCCACCCCCGUCGAGUCCACCCUGCGGCGCAAACUAGGCUCGAACCAAGACAUUAACAGUAGCAGUAAUAACAUUAAUAAAAUUAACAAUAUUAAUAGUUCCAGGACUAAUUUGAAGCUGUCUAACUUGAGCGACAAGAGCAAUCUCCUCAUCAAGAACGCCAAGAACAGCUCCGGGGACCUGCGCAAGCCCUCGCUGGCCCGCACCAACUCCCAGCGGAGCGUCCUCAAGACCUCAAACAUUAAGGUAAGAUCAUCGUCUCAAUCUCCGUGUGUGGCAGUAGAAUGAGCAAAGUAUAGUUGUACUGAGCUAUUUUCUUUAAAAUAAAUUCCUGGGUAUAGAACUUUUGAUAAGAAUCAGUUACUUCCUAACUUCAGCAAAUACGAAAAAUUGGCCACCUACAUGAUCUAACCGCAACUUUUCUUCGAUGUUUUUUCUAUGCCCAUAAUUUACCUAAACAAGAAAAAAAGUUCGGUGGCUGUUUUCUCAAAAGGCAGCUGUAGGGCUGAAGGCUGCUUUCCUCCACCUCCUCAAUCGAAGUGCAGCACCGUAUUAGGUGUGCACAACAUCAAUUUAAUUUUUUGGUUGGUGUGCAGCACCAACUCAGAUAACUAAAAAUAAGCCGGCUGUUUGUGCACAACACAUAGGUUAAUCAAAGAAGGGGCCAUUUCCAGGUGCUGCGCCCGGAACUUUCCGCCUCUGAGCCCGGAACGCGGACGGUAUGUCUAUGUAGCCCGUUAGUGCGGCUUCCACGGCAGGAGUUUUUUUUUUUUUUUUUUCAGUGUACUGUUCUGUUGGCCUUGUUGCCUUUAUCACAGGUGCACGUUGCAAAUAAAUUAACAUUUCAUAAUUUACUUUUUCAAGGUGGAACCAAGAAAGAAGGUGGAGCGAUCCAACUCGCGGAGCAGUCUCCGUAGCUCGCGGAGCUCCCUGAACAGCGCGACCUCCGUGAGCACGGUACGGAACCUCCAGCCGGGCGCCGGGCUCCGGAACUACACCAACACCAUGAAGUCGGAUCCGGGCAAACCCCUGGCUUCGGUACAGCUCAAGUCGAGGAGUUCGGUGCCAGCCAGCCGCAGCUCGAGUAGCGGGAGCAACAGCAGUGUGAGCGCCACCCCGGUCGCCUCCACGGUGAAGCGCCCCAAGAUCUCCUCGGGUCUCAGCACCAGCUUCAAGGAGAACUCCGGGACCGCCGCCCUCCGCAGUGGCAGCAUCAGCAACCAGGGCUCCAGAGCCACUAGCUCCUUCAUGCGACCCACCGCCUCCACGCAAGCCAAGAACACCGCUGAUAACCCUAAGCCUAAAGUUACCUCCUCCAGGUUGACUUUCAAGUGAGACAGUAAUUAGUAAUGAGUUAUUUAUGUUCCAAAAUUGGCCAGCAGUGGCGCCGGGUACUUUGCCAUGUAUCGAUUUACCUGCCGUCUAAACCUAUGGAAAAGGAUCGAUAAACAGGGUGUUCGCAACGGACACCUUAAUAGUCGACUCUUUACCGCAAAUUCAAAUGGGGGAAAUAUCGAUUAUCGAUCAUUCACGCUUCGCCACUGUUGGCCAGUCGCAACUUUUUCGCCACGUCCGCGGAAUGAUCAAGUCAUCCCCGUUGUUCAGUCUGGCGCAUGGGCUCAUUGGCAUAAUUUUCUGACUUUGAUUGGCCAGUUCGCAGAGUGGGCAACGGGGGUGACCUAUCCGCAGACGAGACAAAAAAGUUGCUCGGUCUCCGGAAUGGGCGAUUUCGCCGGGCGAAAUGUAACAUUUACACUGAGAAGAAGGCGGUCUCGUGUACCGGUAGACAGCUGAUUUUGAGCCGCCUCAUCCAUGUCCAUUUGUGCAAAAUAUUAGUUUUACAUUACUUAAUUGUUGUUGCACACCGACUAAAUUGGUGCUGUUGACCAACUACCACACUAUAAAUUAUGAUCUGACGAUGAUCGCCAAAAUUAGCCUAACUACAUACUACUUAUUGCCUAGUUAUUUCCUCUUCCGUGUUACGUUUUGUUUUUUUUUAAAGAAAAUCCAGAUAACAUUCUGCUAUGAGAUUGUGUAAUGGAAUUUUUAUAUUCUAGAGGUAACUCUUAAAAUAUUUUAAAGCAUAAAGUUUUGAAUUGCCUCAUGUUUGCCUCAUGUUGUUGUGUGAACAAAAUAAGAAAUCAGGCAUCAUGAAAUGUAAAUUGUCUUUCCGGUUAAAGUCAUUCAGUCGCUGCGCAGCAUUAAUUUAGUUGAUAUGUCACAUAAUAUUGACAGUUUACAACACCAAUUUGGUCUGUGUGCAGGACCAUUUGGGUUAAGUGGUUCAAAAGUAGGUCUAUUGGUGCUCAACACCAACUUUAUUUUUUUCGUAUGAUACUUUUUUGGUAUGUAAAUUUUCGGAAAAAAGCUUUGAGCUCUGCAAUUUUCAGAAUUUACUGUGACUAUGACCUGAAUCCCUGUGGUUUCAGUUAAUGUUUUUUCUUGGAACUUUGGAAUCAUUUCUAAUCUUCCCUCGAAACUUUCGGUUUUAAUCAAAGAACUUUUCCCGGAACAUGUUAAAUAGAUUUGAACCUCUCCAAAACUUUGAACAGUUCUGGUUGGAAACCUUGUCCGCAAUUUCAUUAGACACAUUUCUCUACUAAAACUCGAAAAAAUUUCUCUCGGUGUCAAGGGCUGACUUCCAUGUUUUAAUUAGUGCUGUGUUAAGUAUUGAUGUUUUGAAAAUUAAGAACAUAUUCUAUUUUUCUAUUCAGAACCGGACAAUUAGGCAACAGUGUUUUCAAAUCAUAUUUACAUAAGUUCCUGGUUGUACAAAAUACUCUUUUAGCUCAUCCCUUGUCUUCUCGAUGACAUAACUUGCCAUCAUUUCAGUCAUCCGUCCAUUCUGAUCAAGGAGGAAGGAGGUAUGCCGAAAGAAAUCGUGUAGUCAAUUAUUGAGUGGUCAAUCAAAAAAGCUUUGCUAAAAUAAAAAAUAUUUAUUCAUUGUUUUUAUUUAUUUAUUGAAUUUAGUCAAUUAUUCAGAUACUGAGCAAAAGUCAUAAAAAACAUCACCCAAGAAAGCGGUGCGCUUAAUCUAAACAGACGGCUGCCGAGAUGUAUCGAUGAAAAUGUUCAACUUUAAAAAUCUUAUGGAUUCAAUUUUUUCAAAACUAGUCCAAGCACUGAGUAAUUAAAAUCAGAGACCAGUCAUGAAUGAGGAGGAUUUUAAAAUUUGCGCCAAAAGUUUAAAAACGCACCUUUGAGGUAUUGAAACUCUGAGACAAUGAGUGAUGUAUGUACAGACAAUAAUCCUGCACUCAAGGAUAAGUGUCCGGAGUUUUAAAAUUUUACCGUGAAAAACUGUAUUAUUUUCUCCGUAAGUGUAGGAUAGUAUUCGUUUUUGGAAUUUGGAGGUCGAAAAUAGCUUACAAAAAUUUGUAAACGACGGACUAAUGAUAGGCCCAAAAGACCUGCAAAUUUCUUUGACGGCAGCUGUCUGAAAUUUCUGAAGGGUCAGUUAAAAAGAUAUCCAACUGAUUAGCCAAACGAGGAUGUAAUUUUAAAUAUCAUAAUAAUUGAAGUCCAUAAUAGUACCUACCUCAUGUGCAUUGUUCUGUUAGGCAACCAAAGUCGGUUCGGCCUAUUUCACUAACAGACCCCUCAUGGUCUGUUUACAAAAUUGUUUUUUUCUAGUUUUUCGUCCGAAUUUUAGACUUUUUACCAGUAAGUAUUACCAUUGGUGUUGUUUCCUUCAAGCAGUGGCAAUCAGUCUGAUACUUAUAGAAAGUUAUCAAUAACAUUUUUUUUCUAUUUUUAUAUAUAAUUUUAUUAGAAUUGUAAUAUUUUAAGUCCUUAAUUGUAUUAUAUUGAUUUUUAUUUUAUUAAUUUCAAAUGAUUGUUCUUCAUUUCUACCCACCCGAGAAAGUUCUAGCAGCAAUUACUCUGCGGGCACCGUUACGGAAGUCUAUAGCCGCAAAGUUUUUGUGUAUUACUAUUGUUGAUGAUUUCAUAGAAACCCUCAGAUGUAUGGACAAAUAUGACCGAUACCGAAAACAAAACAAUUGUUUUUCCCCGUACAACAGCGAAAUCGUUCUCAAAAAUAAAAAGAAUAAAAAGAUGAGAGGAGCCCAUGAAAUUGUAUUCUUAUGAAUGAAGGUGCAUCGUCACCGAGAGUUACAGUGAAGCAUCAACUCGCAAAAAUACGAACCACCGGUGUCAAUUUGUUUGCUGAAUUUUUUCUUUCUUUCCGUCCUUUGAGAUGCUAAAAGUGAUUUAUUUCUUGACAAAAUCUAAUUAAUUUACUUUUAAAUUUUGAUCUAACUUACUUUGAUUCAUUUAUCAAUGUCAUUAAUAUUAUAACUCUAGGUAGGUACCUUUAAUGAAAAACAAAAGCACUCAACUUUACAAAAAAUAAUAAAAAUCA
rnacentral:lncRNA from 1 species